UGGUAAUCAGUUACAACCUGUGCAGGCUGAGCUCUUGUCCCACACGCCUGAACACUGAGGGGUAAAGGGUACAGCAGGAAGCUCGAGGAUGUUAUCUCAGUAGUGUGCAGCUGUGUCAUGACUCUCACAAUUCUAGAUAUCAGUUUCUGCAGUUACCACCCAUUUAAACCACAACGAACCUUUGCCGGUGUGAGCUACAGCACAUCCUAGUAUGGAACUAGUUGAACAUCAAUCUCACAGCCAUCUCCAGGGGUGACAGCAUGGAACUCGGCCGGGCUGUUGCCUCAGCGCAGUUGGGCUGGAUCACAUUGACACGGUAAAGGGGAAAGAAGGGGAAAAAAAAAGGCGCUGGCUCCAGCCUGGCGGCACCACUCGGCAGGUUGAUGAAUGUCCAGGACUUCAGGAUCCUCGCCACCCAGAUCUGACUUCCGGCUGCCCUCCUUCGGUGCUGGAGACAUUCCUUGCAAGAUCACUUGAAUGGCUGCUCUGUUGUAUAUCAGCCCAGGCGGCAGGACCAGGCAAUUUACAAGAUGUCCUGCUGUUUAAAACCACGACCCAGCCUCAGAGCUGUGCUCCCAGAGACGCCAAGGAGUGAACAUCCCCAAGAUUUACAAUGGAGCCCGACACACAGUUACUGCUUGUGAAUUAGUGACCUUUCAACCUAAAGACUUUAGUCAACCCUGGCUCGGGAUACAAGUGAACGACACAUGAACCAGAUCUGGUACGUAUGACUGGGGACUCAAAUUAAACCAAGGCUUAAAAAAAAUGUAACAUUGAUAUGUAAUACAAUAAGGCAAAUUUUUAUGAGCCUUGAACUUUGGGAUAUUACGGUUGUGCCAAGACACCUGCUGUUCAAAUAACUUUAUAUGGAAUUUUCCCCGAGACAGACAGGUGAAAAAAAACUCC
rnacentral:lncRNA from 1 species